rnacentral:rRNA from 1 species
UACGAAGGGGGCUAGCGUUGUUCGGAAUUACUGGGCGUAAAGCGCACGUAGGCGGAUUUGUUAGUCAGGGGUGAAAUCCCGGGGCUCAACCUCGGAACUGCCUUUGAUACUGCAAGUCUCGAGUCCGAGAGAGGUGAGUGGAAUUCCUAGUGUAGAGGUGAAAUUCGUAGAUAUUAGGAAGAACACCAGUGGCGAAGGCGGCUCACUGGCUCGGUACUGACGCUGAGGUGCGAAAGCGUGGGGAGCAAACAGG